UACGUAGGGUGCAAGCGUUGUCCGGAAUCAUUGGGCGUAAAGAGCGUGUAGGCGGCCCGAUAAGUCCGCCGUGAAAGUCCAGGGCUCAACCCUGGAAUGCCGGUGGAAACUGUCGGGCUGGAGUCCGGGAAGAAGGCGAGUGGAAUUCCUGGUGUAGCGGUGAAAUGCGCAGAUAUCAGGAGGAACACCAAUGGCGAAGGCAGCUCGCUGGGACGGUACUGACGCUGAGACGCGAAAGCGUGGGGAGCAAACAGG
rnacentral:rRNA from 1 species